UACGUAGGGUGCGAGCGUUGUCCGGAAUUAUUGGGCGUAAAGAGCUUGUAGGUGGUUUGUCGCGUUGUUCGUGAAAUCUCACGGCUUAACUGUGAGCGUGCGGGCGAUACGGGCAGACUUGAGUACUGCAGGGGAGACUGGAAUUCCUGGUGUAGCGGUGGAAUGCGCAGAUAUCAGGAGGAACACCGGUGGCGAAGGCGGGUCUCUGGGCAGUAACUGACGCUGAGGAGCGAAAGCGUGGGGAGCAAACAGG
rnacentral:rRNA from 1 species